rnacentral:rRNA from 1 species
AUACUAAAGUUGUUGCAGUUAAAAAGCUCGUAGUUGAAUUUCUGGUCGUGGCAGCUGGUCCGCCUCGCAAGGGGUGAGUACCUGGUUGUCGCGUCCAUCCUCGGGGAGAGCAUGCCUGGCAUUCAGUCGUCGGGUAUGGGACCCCCGUCAUUUACUGUGAGCAAAAUAGAGUGUUCAAAGCAGGCUUAGGCCGUUGAAUACAUUAGCAUGGAAUAAUAAAAUAGGACCUCGGUUUAUUUUGUUGGUUUGUAUUCCAAGGUAAUGAUUAAUAGGGACAGUUGGGGGUAUUCGUAUUCAAUUGUCA